rnacentral:lncRNA from 1 species
AUGAAUAAAGAACAGCAGGACUUUCUUUUAAAAAAUGCUUCCGAAAAUGAACUUGGUUAUUUUUCCUAGACAGGAAUAGCUGGCAGAGGGACAGCAGAUGCCAGAGGCAGCAGCAGAGAGAACGGAGAUGGAACAUAGAGACCCAGGGCAAGUAAUUUGUUCUCAUUAACUGGACCUUGGGGAUCUUCAGGAGUUUACCUGAACACCCAGGAGGCUGAACUUGCAUAUCAGUGCCCUCGGAUUGGUGGAUGCAGAAGGUAAAGUUCUGGUCUCAUCUAAGUGUUUCUCACACAGAUAAGUUCUUUCCGUUCUUAUCAGACUAACUAAGAGAAGUCUGUGCUGCAGCUCCUACUGGUUCCCUCUUUGACCAUGGCAAUCGCUGGCACCUCUCCUAUUCCUAGAACACCUUGUUCCCUGCUCCUCCCAGAUGAAGGGGCAAGAGAGCAGAAAGGACAUUGGAACUCUCUGCUAAAGUAACCUUGGACACCAGCCCAUAAUAAUGCACACACCUGUGCAUGCACGCACACACAUGCACACACCAUACUUUUGCAUGCAAACAUCCUUCUAUUCUUACAGAAUCCAGAUGCUGACCUCCCAGUGAGGGUUCCCAAGCCCUCCGUCCACUGGAAUAGUUAAAUUAUGGUGCCCUGGCCUGAACCCCGCGCAUACUCUGUGGUGCUCCCUCUGUGCCGUGGCCACCAGCCUCCACCUUUCAACAGCCAGAGCAUUGAAACUACCUUCUUUCCUUUAAUGUAAUCAAAUUCUUGGGCAGAGUUGAUCGUAAUCAGUGUUGACUGUUUGUUAUUUUAAAUAGUAAUUUUUUUUCUUAUCCUGGCAAAGUUCAUCUCCUUGUGGCUCCAGAUUUUCAGUCUAGUUAUUUUAUGUCUUCCACCAUUUGUGUCUGAAAGGUUAAAUGUGGUGCCUUUUUUUCCUUACCGCAUGCAUAAAUGCAUGUAUUUUCUGUAUUUGGACGUAGAACUCUGUGUGUUGGGGGCUGGGAUAAA